AUAAAACAUUAGGGGUGCCUGUCACUUGUGGCAGUGCUGAGAUUAUACCCAUUGAACCUGUUUAGUUAGGACUAGCGUAGGGAGAAACACAGGAUAACUG
rnacentral:ncRNA from 1 species